GAUUAAGUUAUUAAGGGCGCACGGUGGAUGCCUUGGCACUAGAAGCCGAUGAAGGACGUUACUAACGACGAUAUGCUUUGGGGAGCUGUAAGUAAGCUUUGAUCCAGAGAUUUCCGAAUGGGGAAACCCAGCAUGAGUUAUGUCAUGUUAUCGAUAUGUGAAUACAUAGCAUAUCAGAAGGCACACCCGGAGAACUGAAACAUCUUAGUACCCGGAGGAAGAGAAAGAAAAUUCGAUUCCCUUAGUAGCGGCGAGCGAAACGGGAAGAGCCCAAACCAACAAGCUUGCUUGUUGGGGUUGUAGGACACUCUAUACGGAGUUACAAAGGACGACAUUAGACGAAUCAUCUGGAAAGAUGAAUCAAAGAAGGUAAUAAUCCUGUAGUCGAAAAUGUUGUCUCUCUUGAGUGGAUCCUGAGUACGACGGAGCACGUGAAAUUCCGUCGGAAUCUGGGAGGACCAUCUCCUAAGGCUAAAUACUCUCUAGUGACCGAUAGUGAACCAGUACCGUGAGGGAAAGGUGAAAAGCACCCCGGAAGGGGAGUGAAAUAGAACCUGAAACCGUGUGCUUACAAGUAGUCAGAGCCCGUUAAUGGGUGAUGGCGUGCCUUUUGUAGAAUGAACCGGCGAGUUACGAUUUGAUGCAAGGUUAAGCAGUAAAUGUGGAGCCGUAGCGAAAGCGAGUCUGAAUAGGGCGUUUAGUAUUUGGUCGUAGACCCGAAACCAGGUGAUCUACCCUUGGUCAGGUUGAAGUUCAGGUAACACUGAAUGGAGGACCGAACCGACUUACGUUGAAAAGUGAGCGGAUGAACUGAGGGUAGCGGAGAAAUUCCAAUCGAACCUGGAGAUAGCUGGUUCUCUCCGAAAUAGCUUUAGGGCUAGCCUCAAGUGAUGAUUAUUGGAGGUAGAGCACUGUUUGGACGAGGGGCCCCUCUCGGGUUACCGAAUUCAGACAAACUCCGAAUGCCAAUUAAUUUAACUUGGGAGUCAGAACAUGGGUGAUAAGGUCCGUGUUCGAAAGGGAAACAGCCCAGACCACCAGCUAAGGUCCCAAAAUAUAUGUUAAGUGGAAAAGGAUGUGGCGUUGCCCAGACAACUAGGAUGUUGGCUUAGAAGCAGCCAUCAUUUAAAGAGUGCGUAAUAGCUCACUAGUCGAGUGACACUGCGCCGAAAAUGUACCGGGGCUAAACAUAUUACCGAAGCUGUGGAUUGUCCUUUGGACAAUGGUAGGAGAGCGUUCUAAGGGCGUUGAAGCAUGAUCGUAAGGACAUGUGGAGCGCUUAGAAGUGAGAAUGCCGGUGUGAGUAGCGAAAGACGGGUGAGAAUCCCGUCCACCG
rnacentral:rRNA from 1 species